rnacentral:rRNA from 1 species
UGAGCAAUCUGCCCUUCUCAUCGGAAUAAGCGUUGGAAACGACGUCUAAUGCCGAAUACGACCUCCUUUCGCAUGAUCGGAGGUGGAAAGCUCCGGCGGAGAAGGAUGAGCUCGCGGCCUAUCAGCUAGUUGGUGGGGUCAUGGCUCACCAAGGCGACGACGGGUAGCUGGUCUGAGAGGACGACCAGCCACACUGGAGCUGAGAUACGGUCCAGACUCCG